rnacentral:rRNA from 1 species
UACGUAGGUGGCAAGCGUUGUCCGGAUUUAUUGGGUUUAAAGGGUGCGUAGGCGGCUUUGUAAGUCAGUGGUGAAAUAUGGCAGCUCAACUGUCAAGGUGCCAUUGAUACUGCGGAGCUUGAGUACAGAUGAGGUAGGCGGAAUUGACGGUGUAACGGUGAAAUGCUUAGAUAUCGUCAAGAACACCUAUAGCGAAGGCAGCUUACUAGGCUGUAACUGACGCUGAGGCACGAAAGUGUGGGGAUCAAACAGG